AUAGAAACUGCUCCAUACUUGAUACCUAUUAUCGUUACAACCAUCUUUAAUAUCAGGUUCUUGUAAAUAACAAUGGAAUUGGUUGGCUGUACUGUUUCAGAGUUUUGAAGGUAUGCCCUCCUGCUGUAUCUCAAUAAAUUACAAUUGUUCCACGGGAUAAAAAAGCUUCACAUCAAGAGGGACUUUGGGGUAGUAGUACCCCCUGGAGAUACAAUAAAUGCUGCUUGGGGAUGAAAUGAUGAGGCAUAGAUCCUAGUUUUCUAAGAAUCCUCCAAAAGAGUACUAUGGACCUGCAUGGUACUGUGUGCCUAACAGGUACAUUCAAUACAUAUUUGUUUAAUAAAUGAAGGAACAGUUCUAACGGGAAAAUAAAAGUUACCUGUAAUCCU
rnacentral:lncRNA from 1 species